UUUCCAAAGUGCGAAAAUGGUGAGAGACCAUGAGCCUAAGGGUUCCCGGUGGAGGGAGACUGACUGGAAGCUGCAGUUUGAAAAGCCCCGAAACGUUGGAAGGGGCCCCGAAAUUUGUAUCAUGCCCGCAAAAUCUGGUCCGGCCUUCCCCGGAAUUCAAAGAGCACGUACAAAUUUCAGAAAGUUUUUUGACCCCUCCCCGAACAAAGCGAUCACGAACUAUAAGUAG
rnacentral:lncRNA from 1 species